rnacentral:lncRNA from 1 species
UUUUUCUUUUUUUGGCUUUUUAGAGCUGCACCCAUGACAUAUCGAAGUUCCCAGGCUAGGGGUGGAAUCCGAGCUGUAGCUGCUGGCCUACGCCCCAGCCACAGCCACACAGCAUCCUAGCUGCUUUUGCAACAUGCACCAGAGCUCACGGCAACGCCAGGUUCCUGAGCGAGGCCAGGGAUCGAACCUGCAUCCUCAAGGAUGCUAGUCAGAGUCCUUUCUGCUGCGCCACAAUGGGAACUCCUACAGCAAAUCAUUCUUGAAGGAAGACACGCAUUUGUCCGAUCAGAAAACCUUUUUCCUUCAACUUGAAAGGGAACUUCUCCACUCUGGCCACAAGAGGGAGCCCAAGAUGCAAGUUAAUUCUUGGCAUCCCCAGUUUGGCGGCGGGGGUGGGGGGUCGGGGAUGUCUCAGGUCCUGAGCCUCUGGGACAAGGGCCACGUGAACCGCGACCACAUCCAUUCUUUCUGCUUGGGGAGCCCCCACCUUCCCGUCCUUACUGGGGGAUAAAAAUGCCUGGAAUGAGCUGCUCUGAAGAGCCAAAGAGACAAAAAUGCAUGACCUUGAAGGAGACUUAAGGUGAUUGCCUGUGUUUACACUCAUCAAAUGACAGAUAUUUUAAAAACCUGCACAUGUUUAAUGUGCAUCAAUUAUACCUCAAUAAGCUGUUAAUAAAGAAAUUUAAUAUUACCUUGAACAAUGUCGGGGAGGGGGAAAAUUUCCCCUGUACCCUCCGGACUAAUAAUAAAAUAGAUGAACAGGAGGAACCUAAGUUUUAAUUAGUUUGCACAGAGGUCUCAUAGAAAUAGGACCUAAGAAGUGGUCAAAGCAGACAGGUUUUAUACUUUUUAGACAAAGAAUAACUUGGUGAGGAAUUGAUGGAGCAAAGAAAGGUAGGCUUUAGGAUGUUUCAUCAGUGAAGAAUCUAGCGUGUUUGGGCUUGGGUAGUAAAUUAAAGAAAUAAUGAGGCUUAGUUAUAGAAGUGAUGAUACAGGCUUCUUGUCUCUGAAUUCCCAGUCUCUGGGCAUAAGGGUGUCCUACCUCCAGGUCUUUUUAUUUUGUAUUUUUAGGGCCUCACCUGCUGCACAUGGACGCUCCCAGGCUAGGGGUCGAAUUGGAGCUGCACCUGCCGGCCUCCACCAUAGCCACAGCAAUUUGGGACCUGGGCCACAUCUGUGACCUACACCACAGCUCACAGCAACAUGGGAACCUUAACCCACCGAGCGGGGCCGGGGAUUGCACCUGCAUUCUCAUGGAUACUAGUGGGGUUCACUACCGCUGAGCCACAACGGGAACUCCCUACCUCCAGAUUCUAUGAGAGAUUUCUUUCUCAGUUUCAGGGGGCCAAAGGAAGGUCAGCGUUUCCUUCUCAAUCAACGUCAACUCAAAGUAUUCCGUAUGUCCCCCUGUGGCGUAUUUUGAGGCAGCCGUCCUGAGCCCCACAACCACAGUACAAAUCCAGCAACAACACAAAUCCAUGUAGCUCGCACAGGAACCAUGAACAUCCAAACAGAAUCCAAAAAAAUAAAUAAAUAAUGAACUAAAAGGGACAAUAAUUCCAUCUCAUGAGGCAGCGACGUGCACAUCCCAAUAUAGCAAGAAAAAAAGAGAUGUUUGCCAAAGGGACAGACAAUGAUGCCGUCUCACAAGGCAGCAAUGUGCUUUAGAAAAAGCUCACCGACUGUCUAUUGUUGGCAGAGAAGGAAGCUUGCUCGUAAGUGUCAUCAGGCAGCAGUCGUGACCGCGUCUGCGUAUCAGUGAGUAGGAAUAAUCCAUCAAGAACAAGAACAGAGGAGAAACAGGAGAUGACUAAGGUUAUCUGCAGUCAUAAGGGUGGGGCCCCAAGCAACAGGACUGGGGCCCUGCCCAGAAGGGGAAGCGACACCCCACACCUGUCUCUGUGCGCUCAGAGCGAAGGCCGCGGAAGGACACAGGGAGAAGGUGGCGUUUCCUCCAAGCCAAGGAGAGGGGCUCAAGAGAAGCUCGCCAUGCCCACCCCUUGAUCUCGGACGCCAGGACCACACAACAGUGUCUGUGGUUUAAGCCACCCAGCUCGUGGCAGCCCCAGCGGAUGGAUACCGCGUGGACAGAUCAGGGAUCAAAACCCACCACCUCUACUUUCAGCCCCUCUCUAGGGCUGUAAUCAACAUUUCCUAUGGUUUUUGUAACAAAUGACCACAGCCAUAGGGGCUUAAAACGUCACAAGCGUAUUACCUUACAGCGUUGAGGCCAGGAGUCUAACACAGGUCUCAGGGCUAAAGUCAGGGGCUGCGUUUGUCCUGGAGGCUCCCAGGGAGACUCUUCCCUUGUCUUUUUCAGCUUCCGGAGGCGCCUGUAUUCCCGGGAUGCCGGCCCCAUCCUCCAUCUUCCAAUCUCUCUCUGACGCUCCUGCCUCCUCCUUUAAUUAUAAGGACCCUCCCGAUUCCACGGAGCUCACCUGGUUAAUCUAGGCUCAUCCCGCCCGCUCAGGCUCACCUGAGUCGCAACCCUGCGUCUACCUGCAACUUCACUUACCGCUUGCAAUGUAACAGUCACAAGCUUUGGGACUUAGGAAGUGGCCAACUUGGGGGUGGGGUUUAUUCUACUUAUCACAGCCGGCAAGGGGGUCCCCUCACCGCAAGAGCUGCCAUGUGGUCUUGCAAAGGCGGUGUUUCCCCGCUGGGCUCUAAUUUCGUCCUCCAAUCUGGAUAAGAACCCUCUUCCAUCCUUUCAGGCAAUUUUGAGCAAUUGGUGAAAUAAAAAUAGGUCAUGGGGAGUUCCCACUGUGGCAUGGUGGGUUAAGAACCUGACUGCAGCAGCUCGGGUUCCUGAAGAGGAGUAGGUUGGAUUUGAGGGCUGGUGCUGUUGUUUAAAGAAGGAUCUGGAAUUGCCACAGCUGUGACAUAGGUCAAAACUGUGGCUCAGAUUCAAUCCCUGGCCUGGGCAUUUCCAUAAGCCGAGAGUGCAGCCAUAAAAGAAAAGAAAAUGGGAGUUCCCUUCGUGGCUCAGUGGUUAACGAACAUGACUAGGAACCAUGAGGACGCGGGUUCGACCCCCGGCCUUGCUUUGUGGGCUAGGGAUCUGGUGUUGCUGUGAGCUGCGGUGUGGGUGGCAGAUGUGGCUCAGAUCCUGCAUUGCUGUGGUGUAGGCCACCAGUUGUAGAUCUGAUUCGACCCCUAGCCUGUGAACUUCAGAUGCCACAGGUGCGGCCCUAAAAAG